GACAGAUGAGUCUAUGCACAGCUCUGGAAAAGAAGUGAUUUAAGCAGAUAUUAAGAGAUGUACUGCAGUUGAGAGGAUGGGCAACAAUCCUUUCAAAGGACUGCUUCAUGCAGAGUCUUCAACAGGGAAAAGUGGCAAAGAAUACAAGUCACAUACCCCGUAUGAUAAAAUGAGAGCACAGUUAAAACAGGAUGCUUACUUGAAGGUGGAAGAACUGCAUGUACGUUAGAAGGUCUAUAGCUUUGGGAAACCAUGAGGUUCUGUAAGCAUUUCUUGGACGCCCCUGGAAGCAAGCAGCUCUGAGGAAACGUACCCAUACACCACAAGUCACUUGCUGCCUUAAAGAUUCUCAAACGCCUACCACCUCAAAGUCUCUGUAAGAAAGGCGUGGAGGAACCUCACACAAAAAUAAAGCAACCUCACUGCCAACUGUCAGAGCAGCUAAGAAAAGUUCACAGGAUGCUUAAACCCACUUUGAACUGCAAGAUACUUUUGCUCUGCAACAGCAAACAAGAAGCAUCUUAAGGUUUACUACCCAUGCCAGAUGUUCCAGAAGGUUUCAUAGGGAAAAACCAGGCAUCAACACACCUGGACUCAAACCACCUGAACUGCUGAACUAAGCAGGCAGAAUCAUAUUCAGAAUAUAUUUAGACAAGUGAUUUUUCCCAGCAGCAUGAAAACAGUCAUAUCUAAAAUAAAU